rnacentral:rRNA from 1 species
AUGGUUCGGUUUCUGACUGAGCUUACAAUCAUGUCCAUGUGUGGCGUGCGGCGCAGGGAGAGGGAGGCCCGGCCGGCGACGAUGGCGGAAGACCGCAGCUGGAUGUACACGGGCCGCCAGAGCAGGAAGAAGUUCACCCCCGAGUGGUUGGAGAAGACGACCGAGUUCGUGGAGCGCGCCUUCCGCAUCCUCCCGCCGGGGCGCCAUGCCGUCGUGCUGUGCCCCUGCGCUCGCUGCGAGUUCAGGCUGUACAGAUCGAAGGACGAGAUUCAGUUGCAUCUGUUCAAGAACGGGUUCGCGCCAGGGUACACGGUGUGGGUGUACCACGGCGAGCGCCACAACCCCCAGCCUGCUAAGCCGUCAGACGACCACCCCAAAGAGAACGGCGAUCUCAACGGGAUGAAGGAUGGCGCCGGCGGUGGCGAGCAAGCGUCGAAAUCAGCGCAGGGGACCAAGAAGUGGGCGUGUGCAAGAGGCAAGCCACCAAAGAAGGAUCAACUGUGGGCGCGGGCUGCGCCGCAGGGAGAGGGAGGCCCAGCGACGAUGGCGGACGACCGCAGCUGGAUGUACACGGGCCGCCAGAGCAGGGAGUCCAUCACCCCCGAGUGGGUGGAGAAGACGACCGAGUUCGUGGAGCGCGCCUUCCGCGGCGUCCCGCCGGAGCGCCAGGACGUGGGCAUGCUGUGCCCCUGCGCGCGCUGCCGCAACCGCAACAGGCGGCCGAGGACCAAGUACGCCAUGCAGCUGGAUCUGGGCAGGAACGGCUUCAUGCCAGGGUACACGGUGUGGGUGCACCACGGCGAGGGCCACAACCCCCAGCCUGCCAAGCCGUCCGACGACCAUGGUGGCGGCGAGCAAGUGUCGAAACCGCAGGGGACCAAGAAGUGGGAAAUGCCCUUGCUUGAGGCGUAUGCAAGAAGCAAGCUACCAAAAGAGGAUCAAAUUAAGUGGAGCUACCAAAAAUACCUGUGGGAACAAGAGAAAAUCAAGCAGCAGCAGAGUGCACCAAAGACAAAGAGGCUGCGCACCUCCGGUUCGCCCACUGCCAAGCCUGCUGAAGAUGAAGGGCGCAAUGUCAGCGUCCCGGAGCCUGAACUUGAAGAUACGGCAACGUCAACAGCUGAUGGCCCUGCAGCUAAUCCGGCGACUACAGCCAACGCGCAAGGAGUUCAAAUCCCAGCUGGACCGACGGCUCGUCCCAAGCGCAAGACUGGCCCGCCCGGGUGGCAUUCCGUGUAA